CCUACGUGCUGCAGCAGUGGGGAAUAUUGGACAAUGGGCGAAAGCCUGAUCCAGCCAUGCCGCGUGUGUGAAGAAGGCCUUCGGGUUGUAAAGCACUUUCAGUGGGGAAGAAAGCCUUGGGGCUAAUACCCUCGAGGAAGGACAUCACCCACAGAAGAAGCACCGGCUAACUCCGUGCCAGCAGCCGCGGUAAUACGGAGGGUGCGAGCGUUAAUCGGAAUUACUGGGCGUAAAGCGCGCGUAGGCGGUCUGAUAAGCCGGUUGUGAAAGCCCCGGGCUCAACCUGGGAACGGCAUCCGGAACUGUCAGGCUAGAGUGCAGGAGAGGAAGGUAGAAUUCCCGGUGUAGCGGUGAAAUGCGUAGAGAUCGGGAGGAAUACCAGUGGCGAAGGCGGCCUUCUGGACUGACACUGACGCUGAGGUGCGAAAGCGUGGGUAGCAAACAGGAUUAGAUACCCGUGUAGUC
rnacentral:rRNA from 1 species